CAAACACACAUGCCGCGUGUGUGUGUAUAUAUAUGUGUAUAUAUAUAUAUAUAUAUAUAUAUAUAUAUAUAUAUAUAUAUAUAUAUAUAUAUACACACACACACUGCUGUGUGAGGG